GGAACAGUCCUGUGGGGCACACGAGUCCCAAAGUCUCUCAGAAACGUCCAUUCAAACUGAGUCCUUGUGGCCAGCCCUUGGAAUGACAAUCCUGCACCACCAUGUGCUUGGGCUGUCCUGAAGUCUGUCUCAGCAGCCUCAUCCCUUGGUGGCAUCAGAGAGGGAAUAACACCAACUCAGCUGCAGACCCUCCACUGAACAUUGUUCCAAGAAGAUUAAGGGAGCCAUGAAUCCCCCAAGGAGUCAAACAUCUGCCUGUCCUCCAGCCUAUGACUUGUGCCAGAACCAAGUGCAGCCCUUCAGCUCAGAAAGGGUUGUCUAAGGCACAUCACAAAGACAACAAACAUGGGCAAGGGUGUAGGGGGACACUCCUGGACCUGGAGAAGACCUGGGUCUGCCUGGCUGCAGAGAUGUCCUUUACAAGCUGACAGGAACUGAGAUGAAGCCCACACAACAUCCACGUUGCUGUGACGUUGGUGUCCAUGAGUGAAUGUUUUUGUCCCUGAACGAGGGUUAAUUUGCACAUAUAUCAUGACCUGGAAA